AAGAGAAAGAAAAAUCGAUUCCCUGAGUAGCGGCGAGCGAAACGGGAAGAGCCCAAACCAACAAGCUUGCUUGUUGGGGUUGUAGGACACUCUAUACGGAGUUACAAAAGAACAUGUUAGACGAAUCAUCUGGAAAGAUGAAUCAAAGAAGGUAAUAAUCCUGUAGUCGAAAACAUAUUCUCUCUUGAGUGGAUCCUGAGUACGACGGAGCACGUGAAAUUCCGUCGGAAUCUGGGAGGACCAUCUCCUAAGGCUAAAUACUCUCUAGUGACCGAUAGUGAACCAGUACCGUGAGGGAAAGGUGAAAAGUACCCCGGAAGGGGAGUGAAAGAGAACUUGAAACCGUGUGCUUACAAGUAGUCAGAGCCCGUUAAUGGGUGAUGGCGUGCCUUUUGUAGAAUGAACCGGCGAGUUACGAUCUGAUGCAAGGUUAAGCAGCAAAUGUGGAGCCGCAGCGAAAGCGAGUCUGAAUAGGGCGUUGAGUAUUUGGUCGUAGACCCGAAACCAGGUGAUCUACCCUUGGUCAGGUUGAAGUUCAGGUAACACUGAAUGGAGGACCGAACCGACUUACGUUGAAAAGUGAGCGGAUGAACUGAGGGUAGCGGAGAAAUUCCAAUCGAACUUGGAGAUAGCUGGUUCUCUCCGAAAUAGCUUUAGGGCUAGCCUCAAGUGAUGAUUAUUGGAGGUAGAGCACUGUUUGGACGAGGGGCCCCUCUCGGGUUACCGAAUUCAGACAAACUCCGAAUGCCAAUUAAUUUAACUUGGGAGUCAGAACAUGGGUGAUAAGGUCCGUGUUCGAAAGGGAAACAGCCCAGACCACCAGCUAAGGUCCCAAAAUAUAUGUUAAGUGGAAAAGGAUGUGGCGUUGCCCAGACAACUAGGAUGUUGGCUUAGAAGCAGCCAUCAUUUAAAGAGUGCGUAAUAGCUCACUAGUCGAGUGACACUGCGCCGAAAAUGUACCGGGGCUAAACAUAUUACCGAAGCUGUGGAUUGUCCUUUGGACAAUGGUAGGAGAGCGUUCUAAGGGCGUCGAAGCAUGAUCGCAAGGACAUGUGGAGCGCUUAGAAGUGAGAAUGCCGGUGUGAGUAGCGAAAGACGGGUGAGAAUCCCGUCCACCGAUUGACUAAGGUUUCCAGAGGAAGGCUCGUCCGCUCUGGGUUAGUCGGGUCCUAAGCUGAGGCCGACAGGCGUAGGCGAUGGAUAACAGGUUGAUAUUCCUGUACCACCUAGUAUCGUUUUAAUCGAUGGGGGGACGCAGUAGGAUAGGCGAAGCGUGCUGUUGGAGUGCACGUCCAAGCAGUAAGGCUGAGUGUUAGGCAAAUCCGGCACUCAUAAGGCUGAGCUGUGAUGGGGAGAGGAAAUUGUUUCCUCGAGUCGUUGAUUUCACACUGCCGAGAAAAGCCUCUAGAUAGAUAACAGGUGCCCGUACCGCAAACCGACACAGGUAGUCAAGAUGAGAAUUCUAAGGUGAGCGAGCGAACUCUCGUUAAGGAACUCGGCAAAAUGACCCCGUAACUUCGGGAGAAGGGGUGCUCUUUAGGGUUCACGCCCAGAAGAGCCGCAGUGAAUAGGCCCAAGCGACUGUUUAUCAAAAACACAGGUCUCUGCUAAACCGUAAGGUGAUGUAUAGGGGCUGACGCCUGCCCGGUGCUGGAAGGUUAAGAGGAGUGGUUAGCUUCUGCGAAGCUACGAAUCGAAGCCCCAGUAAACGGCGGCCGUAACUAUAACGGUCCUAAGGUAGCGAAAUUCCUUGUCGGGUAAGUUCCGACCCGCACGAAAGGCGUAACGAUUUGGGCACUGUCUCAACGAGAGACUCGGUGAAAUCAUAGUACCUGUGAAGAUGCAGGUUACCCGCGACAGGACGGAAAGACCCCGUGGAGCUUUACUGUAGCCUGAUAUUGAAAUUCGGCACAGCUUGUACAGGAUAGGUAGGAGCCUUUGAAACGUGAGCGCUAGCUUACGUGGAGGCGUUGGUGGGAUACUACCCUAGCUGUGUUGGCUUUCUAACCCGCACCACUUAUCGUGGUGGGAGACAGUGUCAGGCGGGCAGUUUGACUGGGGCGGUCGCCUCCUAAAAGGUAACGGAGGCGCUCAAAGGUUCCCUCAGAAUGGUUGGAAAUCAUUCAUAGAGUGUAAAGGCAUAAGGGAGCUUGACUGCGAGACCUACAAGUCGAGCAGGGUCGAAAGACGGACUUAGUGAUCCGGUGGUUCCGCAUGGAAGGGCCAUCGCUCAACGGAUAAAAGCUACCCCGGGGAUAACAGGCUUAUCUCCCCCAAGAGUUCACAUCGACGGGGAGGUUUGGCACCUCGAUGUCGGCUCAUCGCAUCCUGGGGCUGUAGUCGGUCCCAAGGGUUGGGCUGUUCGCCCAUUAAAGCGGUACGCGAGCUGGGUUCAGAACGUCGUGAGACAGUUCGGUCCCUAUCCGUCGUGGGCGUAGGAAAUUUGAGAGGAGCUGUCCUUAGUACGAGAGGACCGGGAUGGACAUACCUCUGGUGUACCAGUUGUCGUGCCAACGGCAUAGCUGGGUAGCUAUGUAUGGACGGGAUAAGUGCUGAAAGCAUCUAAGCAUGAAGCCCCCCUCAAGAUGAGAUUUCCCAACUUCGGUUAUAAGAUCCCUCGAAGAUGACGAGGUUAAUAGGUUCGAGGUGGAAGCGUGGUGACACGUGGAGCUGACGAAUACUAAUCGAUCGAAGACUUAAUCAAUUUUUAAA
rnacentral:rRNA from 1 species